AUGAUGUUCCAUGCACCAGAAAGCUACAAACAAACUUGCAUGACAAAAAAAGAGUUAACGGUUUUUUGCUUCCGAAAUAAAUCUUUACCUAAUAAUAAAACAAACUGGGUUUCUUUCGUCCGUCAUGGCAUUUUUCAGAAAAGUCCCUCUAUUUCAGAGAAUUCAACCUGCAGUCCUGUUAUAAGUCAAAACGAAUUGUUUUUUCGUAUUUUACACAAAAGUCUCUGUAUUUUCUUGAAAUCAACCCGCCGUCCGGAUUUAAGUCACACCCGAACCGUUAUUUUACGUUUUUCAAAAAAACCCUGA
rnacentral:rRNA from 1 species